UGUCUUUAAUCUAGGUGAUUGGGGCGACACCACGACGUAAUGUCACGCCAUAUAAUUAUACAACGUAUGUUUGUGUUAUGGUCCUCUUUUAAGUCUACCAACAUAGAAUACGAUUUACCUGACAGCUGUUUACCCUUCAAAUAUUUCCAAUGUUAAUCCACCCAACCAUACAGAACCGUUUCGCACGGUCAUACUGUUCAGAAAUACUCACGAACCGAAUCAACGUAGUCAAGAGGAAACGUAUAUACAUUUUAAUGUACAUAGUUUAUUAACCCAGUGGGUUAUAUUUGUAGUCCGUUUACAUGCAACGCGAUCAAAUGAAUGGAUUAAUGAAUGUGCUGUAGAAUAUGCAGUCAAGGCCAUAGUAACACCACGCAGCUUGUAGGUAUUUAUAGAGGUAUAUUAUUUGAGCUAGUUUUGCUUAUGUGAGAUGUACUUACAAUAAAAUAUUCCUUUCCG